CCCUUAGAUGUUCUGGGCCGCACGCGCGCUACACUGAUGCAUUCAACGAGCCUAUCCUUGACCGACAGGUCCGGGUAAUCUUUGAAUCUGCAUCGUGACGGGGAUAGAUUAUUGCAAUUAUUAAUCUUCAACGAGGAAUGCCUAGUAGGCGCAAGUCAUCAGCUUGCGUCUAUUACGUCCCUGCCCUUUGUACACACCGCCCGUCGCUCCUACCGAUUGGGUGUGCUGGUGAAAUGUUCGGAUCGGCCGUUUGUCGCGGUUUCCGCGUCAUGUGGCUGAGAAGUUCAUUAAACCCUCCCACCUAGAGGAAGGAGAAGUCGUAACA
rnacentral:rRNA from 1 species